rnacentral:rRNA from 1 species
GCUGAAUAAAAUAGGCGUAGUGAAAGGGAACCGUCUGAACUGAAACAUCUUAGUAGGGCGAGGAAAAGAGAGUAAAUAACGAUUCCGGGAGUAGUGGCGAGCGAAACUGGAAUAGCCCAAACCUUGUAUUGUUUUGUUCUCAUCAUCCGGACUGACAUGUCUACCUCGGUAGGUGAGUCGGUGUGGAUGGUGAGAACGAUAUGGCUGACAGGCUAAUGCAAUCAGGGUGUUGUGAGUCUACAGAGUUUUAAGAUCCAGCACUUCUAUAUGGAGUGUUGAAUCUUAAAAGUGACGACUGUCAUCGAGCACAUAAGGUAAAAAAUCGGCGUGGUUAGCAGAACGAGUUGGAAAGCUCAGCCGGAGACUGUGAUAGCCAGGUAUGCGAAAACGACGCUGACCUUAUUCUGUAUUCUCGAGUAGGUCGGGGCACGAGAAACCCUGAUUGAAUCCGGCUGGACCACCAGCCAAGGCUAAAUAUAGUAUAUGAUCGAUAGUGAACUAGUACGGUGACGGAAAGGUGAAAAGAACCCCGGGAGGGGAGUGAAAUAGAACCUGAAAUUUUGUGCCUACAAGGAGUCGGAGCCGGGAUAAGGUAAAUCUACCUCAUCUGCUUUCCGAAAGGGAAAAGAGCAGCGAGCUUGGUUUUGCUUUAGCAAAACUCAGCUUUGCUGACGAGCGAUGAGAAAAACCGUAGGUUUGUCUCAUCCCGGUGACGGCGUGCGUUUUGUAGAACGAUCCAGCGAGUUAAUUUUUACGGCGAGGUUAAGUCAGAUGAUGAAGCCAUAGUGAAAGCGAGCAUUAACAGUGCGAUUUAGUCGUAAGGAUUAGACCCGAAACCAGGUGACCUAACCAUGAGCAGGUUGAAGCAACCUUAAUCGGUUGUGGAGGACCGAACCAGUGUAUAUUGCAAAAUGCUUGGAUGACUUGUGGUUAGCGGUGAAAUGCCAAUCGAACUUGGAGAUAGCUGGUUCUCCGCGAAAUAGUUAUAGGACUAGCGUCGUGUGAUAGCUUACGGGGGUAGAGCUCUGUCAAGAGAUAGGGGGAGCAAUCCUACCUACUCUUAAUAAACUACGAAUACCGUAUGUCUGUAUCACGGCAGUUAGAACGUCGGUGCUAAGAUCGGCGCUCAAAAGGGAAACAGCCCAGACCAUCAUCUAAGGUCCCCAAAUUUACGCUAAGUGGGAAACAAGGUGGAAUUUCUUAAACAGCUAGGAUGUUGGCUUAGAAGCAGCCAUUCAUUUAAAGAGUGCGUAACAGCUCACUAGUCAAGAGAUUCUGCGUGGAAGAUAUAACGGGGCUAAGCGUAAUACCGAAGAUAUGGAUUGCAAUUUAUUGCAGUGGUAGCGGAGCGUUCCUAUCAGCAGUGAAGCCAGACUGUUAAGUACUGGUGGAGCGUUAGGAAGUGAGAAUGCUGGAACGAGUAACCAUAAGACAGGUGAGAAUCCUGUCGGCCGAAAGAGCGAGGUUUCCUGGGCUAUGGUAAUCAUCCCAGGGUUAGUCGGGCCUAAGCCGAGGCGUUUAGCGUAGGCGAUGGACAUCAGGUUAAUAUUCCUGAACUAGUCAAACUUUGUAUGCAGUUAGCGAUGAGAUAGGUGGAGCGGAUUCAUGGUUUAUCCGUUCAAGUGAUAGAGGAAUCUUGAUCGAGUAAAAGUGAACCUACGGGUUUACGAUUCCGCUGAAGGCAUUGACCAGAAAAGCUGGCAUACGCAUGGGUUUGGCUACCCGUACCGCAAACCGACACAGGUGCUCGAGUCGAGGAGACUAAGGCUUACGAGAGAAUGAUUGCUAAGGAACUCGGCAAUACAGCGACCGUAACUUCGGAAUAAGGUCUGCCUACAUUUGUAGGCCGCAGCUAAAGAGCCCACGGAACUGUUUAUCAAAAACUCAGGUCUCUGCUAACACGAAAGUGGAUGUAUAGGGGCUGAAACCUGCCCGGUGCCGGAAGGUUAAGGGGAUUGCUUCACGGUGAGAACUGAAGCCCCGGUGAACGGCGGCGGUAACUAUAACCGUCCUAAGGUAGCGAAAUUCCUUGUCAGGU